CCGCCAUCUUGGACUACUGAAAUCUAACGUGGCUGACGUCAAAGGAGCUUUUUUUCUUCUCACGCUGUCUGCUGAAGUUCAUGCCGCCCGUGGCUGCUGCAGCUGGCUUGGAUGCAAACAGUCACUUGCCUUAAUGCUUUGCAAUCUUACUAAAGUCCCUGGGGGAAAGUGAUACCUUUACUAUCUAGCCUGCAACAGCUCUGAGCUGGACUGUAUCUCCUCCUCGCCAUCUGAAUCUGGACCCUCCAAAUCUACACCAGGACCUUGAGGUCUCCACAUGUGGGAGCCAGACAGCAGGAGUGCUGUCUCUCCUCCCACAAAGGAAGACUCUUCUCCCCUGGUGAUGGCUAGGGAGUGAUGUUGAGGCUUCUUCUUGCACAGAGGUCACAGAAAGCAACUGGAUAUUGAGGAAUCUACAUCGGGUCACUUUCAGCUCCAACUACCUUGACCCCUAUGUGUAUCAAAGCUAUGAGACUGUCAGUCACAGGUACCUCUACGCUCACCCAUCUGACAUAUCUGGAUUUGUGGAUAAAGGCUUCCCACCUUGCACUCAGAUUCAUCUUGAUAAAUGGGAGCCAGAGUUUGGUUGCUGAAUCAACAGCAUUGUUGCCAGGUUGUCAUGGUGUCUGAUUGUUGAGCAUCAUGUCACGCACCCCAUCACAGCCGGACGUCCCUCCGAGCCUGCAGCCGAUCCCAUGGUCGCCAUGACGUUUACCUUGGCAACCACAAUAGGCUGGCAAAGACUGGGGUGCCAGGAGAAGGUGGUGGCAUUGUGUCACCUCAUGUCAUAAGUCAAGCCUCCAAACACUAACCAAAGUUAUUUUUGGAGAUGCUUUUUUCAUUGAGGUUCAGUAUUUGGAGGUAGUUGAUAAAUGCAGACAUAGAGCAUCAAACAGAGCAUAAACAUAAAAUAAAAAA